rnacentral:rRNA from 1 species
CACCGGCAGCUCUAGUGGUAGCUGUUUUUAUUGGGCCUAAAGCGUUCGUAGCCGGUUUGAUAAGUCUUUGGUGAAAUCCUGUAGCUUAACUAUGGGAAUUGCUGAGGAUACUGUCAGGCUUGAGGUCGGGAGAGGUUAGCGGUACUCCCAGGGUAGGGGUGAAAUCCUGUAAUCCUGGGAGGACCACCUGUGGCGAAGGCGGCUAACUGGAACGAACCUGACGGUGAGGGACGAAAGCUAGGGGCGCGAACCGGAUUAGAAACCCUAGUAGUCC